GAUGAACGCUGGCGGCGUGCCUAACACAUGCAAGUCGAGCGAACGGACGAGAACCUUGCUUCUCUGAUGUUAGCGGCGGACGGGUGAGUAACACGUGGAUAACCUACCUAUAAGACUGGGAUAACUUCGGGAAACCGGAGCUAAUACCGGAUAAUAUUUUGAACCGCAUGGUUCAAAAGUGAAAGACGGUCUUGCUGUCACUUAUAGAUGGACCCGCGCUGCAUUAGCUAGUUGGUAAGGUGACGGCUUACCAAGGCCACGAUGCCUAGCCGACCUGAGAGGGUGAUCGGCCACACUGGAGCUGAGACACGGUCCAGACUCCUACGGGAGGCAGCAGUAGGGAAUCUUACGCAAUGGGCGAAAGCCUGCUGGAGCAACGCCGCGUGGUGGAUGAAGGUCUUCGGAUCGUAAAACUCUGUUAUUAGGGAAGAAGAAAUGUGUACGUAACUGUGCGCAUCUUGACGGUACCUAAUCAGAAAGCCACGGCUAACUACGUG
rnacentral:rRNA from 1 species